UACGAAGGGGGCUAGCGUUGUUCGGAAUCACUGGGCGUAAAGGGCGCGUAGGCGGCCGAUCAAGUCGGGGGUGAAAGCCUGUGGCUCAACCACAGAAUUGCCUUCGAUACUGUUUGGCUUGAGACCGGAAGAGGUUAGUGGAACUGCGAGUGUAGAGGUGAAAUUCGUAGAUAUUCGCAAGAACACCAGUGGCGAAGGCGGCUGACUGGUCCGGUUCUGACGCUGAGGCGCGAAAGCGUGGGGAUCAAACAGG
rnacentral:rRNA from 1 species